GAUGAACGCUGGCGGCGUGCCCAAUACAUGCAAGUCGAGCGAAUGGAUUAAGAGCUUGCUCUUAUGAAGUUAGCGGCGGACGGGUGAGUAACACGUGGGUAACCUGCCCAUAAGACUGGGAUAACUCCGGGAAACCGGGGCUAAUACCGGAUAACAUUUUGAACCGCAUGGUUCGAAAUUGAAAGGCGGCUUCGGCUGUCACUUAUGGAUGGACCCGCGUCGCAUUAGCUAGUUGGUGAGGUAACGGCUCACCAAGGCAACGAUGCGUAGCCGACAUGAGAGGGGGAUCGGCCACACUGGGACUGAGACACGGCCCAGACUCCUACGGGAGGCAGCAGUAGGGAAUCUUCCGCAAUGGACGAAAGUCUGACGGAGCAACGCCGCGUGAGUGAUGAAGGCUUUCGGGUCGUAAAACUCAGUUGUUAGGGAAGAACAAGUGCUAGUUGAAUAAGCUGGCACCUUGACGGUACCUAACCAGAAAGCCACGGCUAACUACGUGCCAGCCGCCGCGGUAA
rnacentral:rRNA from 1 species